AAACAAAACUAAUUAAGAAAACAAAAAAAAAACAACAACACAGAAACAAGUGAAACCAGUUCGUAGUCGAAGGUACAAAAAAAUUUAAUUUGGUCAUUUUUUAUACUCUUUACCCCCAAACUUAAACUGGACAUUGUCCCCAAUGUCAGAAAACACUAUAAUGCAAAUAAAAAUAAAAUAAAUAAAUAAUAAGAAACAAAAUAAAACAAUUGGACUGAAAACUUCCCUAAUUUGCAGUAAAAUCAAGCGAUGACCCCCAAGCUAAAAUUCUGCAAUCAACUUCAAGGGUGGAAAUAACCAAAAGUUCCUGCAAAGAAAAGAAAUAAUUCAGUUAAGUGACACAAGAAAAAAAUAAAAAAAUUGCAAACGAAAAAUUGAAAAUCACGAUAAAAGACAAUGAAUAGAACUAAUAAGUGGUCAUUGGUCGUGCUUGUUGACUUUCCACAGCUUUCCUCUUGAACGGGGUGACACUUAGCUUUUUACUUGCAAGUGAUGAUUUGAUGAUAUUGUACGGCGAAGCUUUGCUCUUUGGUGAUGUUGCAGUUCCUUAUUUGUUCUCCAAGCAGAUGUGGCAGCUUCUCUAGUUCCUCAGCUCGGACUCCUUCCGCUGGGAUGAUUGUGCAAGCUGCAU
rnacentral:lncRNA from 1 species